UACGGAGGGUGCGAGCGUUGUCCGGAAUCAUUGGGCGUAAAGGGCGCGUAGGCGGCGGGGUAAGUCUGGUGUGAAAUCUCGGAGCUCAACUCCGAAAUUGCACUGGAUACUGCUCUGCUAGAGGGCUGGAGAGGAGAUCGGAAUUCACGGUGUAGCAGUGAAAUGCGUAGAUAUCGUGAGGAAGACCAGUGGCGAAGGCGGAUCUCUGGACAGCUCCUGACGCUGAGGCGCGAAGGCUAGGGGAGCAAACGGG
rnacentral:rRNA from 1 species